rnacentral:rRNA from 1 species
CCUACGGGAGGCAGCAGUGAGGAAUAUUGGUCAAUGGCCGGAAGGCUGAACCAGCCAAGCCGCGUGAAGGACGAAGGUGCCAAGCAUUGUAAACUUCUUUUGUCCAGGGACAAAAUCAGACUCGCGAACCUGUCCGAGAGUACCUGAAGAAAAAGCAUCGGCUAACUCCGUGCCAGCAGCCGCGGUAAUACGGAGGAUGCAAGCGUUAUCCGGAUUUAUUGGGUUUAAAGGGUGCGUAGGCGGACUGUUAAGUUAGAGGUAAAAGCCCGGGGCUCAACCCCGGAGAGCCGUUGAAACUGGCUGGCUUGAGAUGUCGAGAGGUAUGCGGAAUGCGCAGUGUAGCGGUGAAAUGCUUAGAGAU